rnacentral:misc_RNA from 1 species
UACGUAGGUGGCAAGCGUUGUCCGGAUUUAUUGGGCGUAAAGCGAGCGCAGGCGGUUCUUUAAGUCCGAUGUGAAAGCCCACGGCUCAACCGUGGAGGGUCAUUGGAAACUGGAAGACUUGAAUGCAGAAGAGGAAAGUGGAAUUCCAUGUGUAGCAGUGAAAUGCGUAGAUAUAUGGAGGAACACCAGUGGCGAAGGCGACUUUCUGGUCUGUAACUGACGCUGAGGCGCGAAAGCGUGGGGAGCAAACAGG